ACACCUCUGGGGAAAUCGUGAGGAGACGGGUAUUAUCCUUGAGCCUAAUUUCUUACCCCGGGAGUAGCUGUAAUUGGCUGGUGUGCAUGACCGCUAGACGGUAAGCCUGAAGACCAUUCGCUGCACCCACUUGAACCACUGGUUCAAGGUCGAAGUCUUCCACGACUUUUUGGAGUGUGU
rfam:Thiothrix lacustris isolate A8 Ga0073116_1647, whole genome shotgun sequence.